rnacentral:rRNA from 1 species
UACGUAGGAUGCAAGCGUUGUCCGGAAUUAUUGGGCGUAAAGAGCGCGCAGGCGAUAACUCAAGUCAGAUGUGAAAUAUCCGGGCUUAACCCGGAGGGGUCAUUUGAAACUGAGUAACUAGAGUACAGCAGAGGAUAGCGGAAUUCCCGGUGUAGUGGUGAAAUGCGUAGAUAUCGGGAGGAACACCAGUGGCGAAGGCGGCUAUCUGGGCUGAAACUGACGCUGAGGCGCGAAGGCUAGGGGAGCAAACAGG